rnacentral:lncRNA from 1 species
UUUAUUUAAAUUACUGCAUUAUAAGCAGGUAAGUUUGACUGACAAUAUAAAUAAUGUUGUACAUCAUGCAGACAGCUCAGACAAAGAACCGUUCAUUAACAAGUCCUGUGCUUUAUAAUAUAUUAAAAAAUGGAAGGGCGUGAAGAAAACAGGUUUGUAAAUGAUGUUGUACAUCAUGCAGAUAGCUCAUAAGAAGAAGUAAGUUUUUUUUUUAAUUACAAAAGUAAAUAUAUAAUAUAAUAUUUGUUGCUGCCUUGUUCUAUAUAAAUGUUUCUAACAUGCAGGUAACAUUUAUAUAUGUAUUAGUUUGAAUAAAUCAUUUUAAUAAAGUUACAUUAUAGGCAGGAAUGUUUGACUGGAAAUAUAAACGAUGUUGUACAUAAUGCAGAUAGCUUAGGCAAA